ensembl:lncRNA
AGGAAACAAAGCAGGGUGGGUGGCCGCCCGAAAUCUUGCUCCAUUGGAGCGCUGUGCGUGGCACACGGGGACCGAGGCCCUGCUGGGAGGAUGAACGGCAGGCCGGUGGGCAGCGGUGCGUGGCCCUGCCUGCUAACCUUGUGAGCCGGGCGCUGCGGUGAGCAGAAGGCCGUCAGGAAGGGCAGAAGGAGUUGCAGGGCUACGGAUGGAGACUUUGGGCUGCAGGCAGAUGAGCCUUGAGGAGUUUAAAAGCAGGCAGUGGAGUUAUGGAGACAUGGAGUGCUCUGCAGACUUCAGUAGAACCUCUCCUCAGUGCUGAUCCUGAUCCAAAUCACCCAAAACAGGAGAAAAAUAAUCUGAAAGCCAAUUUAACUCCAAGCUGGACGCUUAAAUUACAUCCUUUGAAUAAGAUGCCCUGACACAGAAGAGCAAUCGUCUUCAUAAUCCCUCCUAACUCUGAUUUCCAUCUCAGCUAUUGAUGCUUACGUCUUUCUUUCUGGCUGUUCUGGUCCAUCUGUUAGCUUGGGGACUGGCAGAUUUGCAAGACAGUGGGCCACUUUCCCAUGGGACACAGGACACUAACAGGGCAUCAGCUAUGGACCUUGCCUAGUUGCACAGAACACAGUAUUUCUGCAGCUGGUGAGGGUGGAGAGCGUGGUCAAGUUCCCUUGUGCCCCAAGCGAGGCUCUGCAGAUGCUGCAGCCAGAGGAUGUGCCUAUCUGUGGAGCGGCAGGUAGAGAAUUCCUGAUUCUCUGCAAUUGCCUGUGAAGGUAGAGAAACCCUGGUUUCCCUCUGGAGAUUGCUCUCCCUUGUUGGUGCAUUCAGCCUGCUCAGGUCAAGGCUGCCUGUCCACGGCAGGAUCACUGGCUAGGGAUGGACUUGUGUUCCC